rnacentral:lncRNA from 10 species
CACUGACAUUUUGUACAGGAUAAUUCUUCGUUGUAAAGGGCUGUCCUGUGCAUUUUAAGAUGUUUGGCAGCAUCCCUGGCCUCUAACCACAAGAUACCGGUAGCACUCUUCACCUCCCUUCCCCCUCCCAAGUUGUGAUAACCAAAAAUAUCCCUAGAUAUUGCCAGGUAUCUUUGGGGGACAAAAUUGUUCCCUGUUGAGAAGCUACUGUGUUGGGGACACAUGAUUUAGUAGCUCAAACUGGAGGAUUAUAAGGAUCGCCUGAAAAGUGGAGAGCAUCUUAAUCCAGACCAGUUGGAAGCUGUAGAGAAAUAUGAAGAAGUGCUACAUAAUUUGGAAUUUGCCAAGGAGCUUCAAAAAACCUUUUCUGGGUUGAGCCUAGAUCUACUAAAAGCGCAAAAGAAGGCCCAGAGAAGGGAGCACAUGCUAAAACUUGAGGCUGAGAAGAAAAAGCUUCGAACUAUACUUCAAGUUCAGUAUGUAUUGCAGAACUUGACACAGGAGCACGUACAAAAAGACUUCAAAGGGGGUUUGAAUGGUGCAGUGUAUUUGCCUUCAAAAGAACUUGACUACCUCAUUAAGUUUUCAAAACUGACCUGCCCUGAAAGAAAUGAAAGUCUGAGUGUUG